CUGAAUUGUAAAAUCGGGAAUGUACUUGUAUCCUCAUUUAUUGUCAAAAUUGGAUGUGGAAUAACGAAAAACGAAUAUUUUAUUCAAUUUUCUUUUUUCGUUUUGUUCAUACUCGGAAGUACGCACACGCUCAGACUUUUCACGCUCAGACUUUUCAGGGUGUUUAGGGGGUGUGUUUACAACCAAAGGUGGCAGCACAAUGAAAGGAUUAGAUUGUGUGAGUGUGACAGGAGGAAAGAAAAUACUGUUAGCUAAGAUGCAGAAUUUAGCAUAUCAAUAGAACAAACUCAGCAACAACUGAACAGAGUUGCCAGCGCUGGCUACUGGUUUAUAGUCAUGCUAGCUAGUAGAAGUAAAUUAGUCCCUCAACCUGUUACAAGAUGAAGCUGCCCGGCUAGAGCUACCUGCUGCAGAAAGGGUUGGGGAGUAACGGAUUACAAAAGAAACGAUGGCAGCAAUGUGCUACCUUCAAAGAGGCCUGCAGGUGGCGUCAACCAGCCUACAUACCAUACCAUCUGUGAAUGACCUGUAAAGAUUGUCAAGCGAGAGAAGGAGAGAGUUAACUGUUCAUUUGUGAUUGUUUAUUCCACUUGCUUUGGCAAUGUUAACAUAUGUUUCC
ensembl:lncRNA